UGUUGUGAAUCUAAACAAAAUCGGUCAGUCGUCGUUUUGUUGCCGUGAGAGUAACGCGUUGGAGGUUCCGGGCUUUCGGGUUGAGCAUGUUGCGUCAGUGAACGUAGCCGGCCAAAAUGCACGCGUUGUUCGGUGAACAGAGUCCGUAUGCGUACCGUGGAGGAGCUGGCGGUGGCUACUCAGCCGGUGUUACACCCUAUGCCUACGAACAAUACCGUUACGGAUAUGGAGCUCCUUAUCUCCAUCCCCAUCAACAGCACGUCGGUGCUCCUAAGGACAUGGUCAAGCCCCCAUACUCGUACAUCGCGCUGAUAGCGAUGGCUAUACAAAACGCGCCAGAACGCCGCAUCACACUAAACGGUAUUUACCAAUUUAUAAUGGAACGUUUUCCUUACUACAGAGAAAAUAAACAAGGCUGGCAAAAUUCCAUAAGGCAUAAUUUGAGCCUAAACGAAUGCUUUGUGAAAGUGGCUAGAGAUGACAAAAAACCCGGUAAAGGAAGCUAUUGGACCCUCGAUCCUGAUUCAUAUAACAUGUUUGAUAACGGUUCAUAUCUGCGACGGCGGCGUCGUUUUAAGAAGAAAGAUGCGCUAAGAGAAAAGGAGGAAGCUUUGAAGAGGCAGCAACAACUGCAACAAGCUCAAGAAGCGCUGGCGGCACAGGAGGCGCUGAGUGCGGCGGACGCGCUGGCGCAGCAGCGUGACGUGAAGCCCGACGUCAAGCCACGCAUCUUCGAGUGCCGGCCCAAGCGCGAGCCGGGCGCCGACUGCGCACGCUAUGACAAGCCCGUCGACAACCUGGACGACUUCAGCGAGCCUCGGCUGCCUGCUUCGGCCGUCUAUUGUUCGCCGCAACCGUACUCGCUAGCAGCCGAGGAGUUCCGCGCAGCUACGUCCGGCUGGUACGCGGCGCCCGAGCCUCCAGCGGAACAGCUGCCGCCGGCGUUCCGCGACCUGUUCGAGCCGCCCAGCUGCCAGCUGGCGGGCUUCCGCGGUGGCUCCCCCGGGCCAGACACCUACCGAGCCUCGCCCCCGCCGCACCACCAUUACCGAGCUCCUGCGCCCUCCUACUACCACCACCAGGCGUGCGUCGCCGCCGGACCUGCGCCAGCUCACAAGUCCUACUGAGACCAUGCCCUCAGGAGGCCGGCAUCGCUCGGCGCCGAACGGAUUUAGCCGCACGCGUCAGUUCCAGAGCGGAUAAAUAUAGCGCAGUAGCCGGAGAUGCCGUGGAGGCAAGUGGCGGCGCGUCGAUAACCACUGUUUACAGAUCGGCGGCCGACCCUGCCGCCUCCCGCUCCGUUCACACCUAUAGGUAUGACGAUGUAAGAAGACAGCGGGAGGCUGAAUGGUGGGCAAGGCGAGAGUAUUUAACGUUCCUGGAAGACACGUCAACGUAAUGUUGUGAGAACUCAGUUGUUAUGAGUGGUGCAACUUAUUCACGAACGCUAUUCACGCUGUCACGUGUCUCUGCUCGAGAUACCGAAUGAUAGUGCCAGAAGACUUAUUUUAGUAUGUAUAUUCGUUCACCUAUGAACUUAAUAUAAUUAGUAAUUAAUAACGAAAUCCGAAAAUUCCGAAGUAGAUUUCAAUUUAUUGAUGUAGGCCGCGACGUAUCGUUAUCUCAGUAUUAAACAAUUACAGUAUUAUGAUCUACAUAAAACGUACGUCGAUUUAACUUAAUAUGUAAACGAGUAUUAGUUAAAAUGUAAAUAGUUAUAAAUAACUAGUUUUUCUAUUAAUGUAGGGCCCCUGUUAGUGAAAUUAUGAGGGGAUGUGCUGUUAUUCUAGUCUGCUACUUUUGGGCAAAAUAUUUGUGUAAUAGCAACAUAAACCGAUUUCUUACUUAAGACAUAAAAAUAGUCGAAGAUUAAUUAAUUCGCAUCUCAAAGUAAUAGAGGAAGUUGUCAAAUAUUAGCUUCUUAAUAUUACUGGACUUCUUACAUUUUAUUACAUUUCGACCUGAUUUGUUGUUUUCUAAAGGAUGUACAGAAUAAAUUAAGUGUGUUGAUUUUAAACAGUUGUACUUAACACAGUAAAUAAUCGUGGCUAGAUUUUUUCAUCAGGAAAACUUAGAACUAGUUUUUUAUAUGCUCUGAAAAUUAAUAACUAUGAUUGUUUGUUUUUAUUAUUUUCAUUCAUUAAAAGAUCUGUGUUAUGCCUUUUGAGAUACAUCAUAAUGUAAGCAUACCUAGUUGUCAAAAUAUCUCAUACAUUUAUACCAAUAGUUGCAUGUUUCUUCCGACUAAAAAGUUUAAAGAGUACUCACGUCUGAGUGUCACAGGUAAACAACAAUACAAUAAGCCACAUUUACAAUUCACAUAAUGUUAAAUACGCGUAACAGAUGAAAGUUCAAGAGUGUCAAAAACUGUCGGAAAGUGAACAAAUUACUUAAACUAAUCAAUAAAUUAAAACUCAGAAAGAUGGCCUUUUUUUCGUAUACACUUUAAAAUUC